rnacentral:rRNA from 1 species
GACGAACGCUGGCGGCGUGCCUAAUACAUGCAAGUCGUGCGGACCUUGUUGAAAGCUUGCUUUUAAAAGGUUCGCGGCGGACGGGUGAGUAACACGUGGGCAACCUGCCUGUAAGACUGGGAUAACGCCGGGAAACCGGGGCUAAUACCAGAUCGUUUUUUCCUCCGCAUGGAGGAAAAAGGAAAGGCGGCUUCGGCUGCCACUUACAGAUGGGCCCGCGGCGCAUUAGCUAGUUGGCGGGGUAAUGGCCCACCAAGGCAACGAUGCGUAGCCGACCUGAGAGGGGGAUCGGCCACAUUGGGACUGAGACACGGCCCAAACUCCUACGGGAGGCAGCAGUAGGGAAUCUUCCGCAAUGGACGAAAGUCUGACGGAGCAACGCCGCGUGAGUGAAGAAGGCCUUCGGGUCGUAAAACUCUGUUGCCGGGGAAGAACAAGUGCCGUUCGAACAGGGCGGCGCCUUGACGGUACCCGGCCAGAAAGCCACGGCUAACUACGUG